rnacentral:rRNA from 1 species
AUUGAACGCUGGCGGCAGGCUUAACACAUGCAAGUCGAACGAGCGGCGGACGGGUGAGUAAUGUCUGGGAAACUGCCUGAUGGAGGGGGAUAACUACUGGAAACGGUAGCUAAUACCGCAUACCAUCAGAUGUGCCCAGAUGGGAUUCGCUAGUGGGUGGGGUAACGGCUCACCGAGGCGACGAUCCCUAGCUGGUCUGAGAGGAUGACCAGCCACACUGCAACGAGGACACGGUCCAGACUCCUACGGGAGGCAGCAGUGGGGAAUAUUGCACAAUGGGCGCAAGCCUGAUACAGCCAUGCCGCGUGUAUGAAGAAGGCCUUCGGGUUGUAAAGUACUUUCAGCGAGGAGGCGUUACCCGCAGAAGAAGCACCGGCUAACUCCGUGCCAGCAGCCGCGGUAAUAC